UUAAAUUUACUGAAAAUUAAGUACUGAAUUUCUCCUUCUGAAGGAAGUUGGUAAUAGAUAUGCACAUUAAUUUGCACAAGAUGUCAUCAUUUACCAUGAGAACCCUGGAAAAUCAAAGCCCCAAACUUAAAAGAAAGGGAUCAACUUUUAAUCCAAAAUUCAAAUUCUUGUGUGUGUGUGUGUUUUAUUUUUUUAUUUUUUCUCAUUGAACUUUUUUUAAUGGGUCUUAAAUUCUGUGACAGAUUUUUGGUCAAGUUGUUUUCAUUAAAAAGUACUGAUUUUAAAAACUAAUAACUUAAACUGCCACACACAAAACAUAUGGUCCACAAAAACAUUCUCCUUUCCUUCUGAAGGUUUUACGAUGCAUUAUUAUCAUUAACCAGUCUUUUACUAUUAAACUUAAAUGGCCAAUUGAGACAAACAGUUCUGAGACCGUUCUUCCACCACUGAUUAAGACUGGGGUGGCAGGUAUUGGGGAUAAUAUUCAUUUAGCCUUCUGAGCUUUCUGGGCAGACUUGGUGACCUUGCCAGCUCCAGCUGCCUUCUUGUCCACUGCUUUGAUGACACCCACAGCGACUGUCUGUCUCAUGUCACGCACAGCAAAAUGGCCCAGGGGAGGAUAAUCAGAGAAGCUCUCAACACACAUAGGCUUGCCAGGAACCAUAUCAAUGAUGGCAGCGUCACCAGAUUUCAAGAAUUUAGGGCCAUCUUCCAGCUUUUUCCCAGAACGACGAUCAAUCUUCUCCUUCAGCUCAGCAAACUUGCAAGCAAUGUGAGCUGUGUGACAAUCCAGCACAGGUGCAUAUCCAGCACUGAUUUGGCCUGGAUGGUUCAAAAUAAUCACCUGAGCUGUGAAGCCAGCAGCUUCCAUGGGUGGAUCAUUUUUGCUGUCACCAGCCACAUUGCCACGACGGACAUCUUUGACAGACACGUUCUUGACAUUGAAGCCCACAUUGUCCCCAGGAAGGACAUCAGAGAUUGCCAGACAACAGUGUUUCCAGGAUGCAGGCAUCAUAGGAGACACUUGGGGUACAGGAGGGAACUCCUGGAGCUUCCCAGCAGCUCUGAGAUUCUGCAGUGGUUCAGGAAACCAAACUCAUACAGAGAUGCUGAAUCUUCCCUGGGGCUGAGUUCCCUUUGA
rnacentral:lncRNA from 1 species